GACGAACGCUGGCGGUGUGCCUCAUACAUGCAAGUCGAACGAUAAGGUUCCUUCGGGAAUACAUAAGUGGCGGACGGGUGAGUACAAUGUAGGAAAUCUGCCUUAGGGUGGGGGACAACAGAGGGAAACUCCUGCUAAUACCCCAUAUGAGGUGAGUUGAAAUACUUAUCUUGAAAACUCCGGUGCUCAAGGAUGAGUCUGCAUCUGAUUAGCUAGUUGGUGGUGUAAUGGACCACCAAGGCGAUGAUCAGUAGCUGGUUUGAGAGGAUGAUCAGCCACAAUGGGACUGAGACAUGGCCCAU
rnacentral:rRNA from 1 species